UCGUCGGUUGCGUCGAUUUUUAAAUUUUCUGACGAAAAAGUGCAUUUAGUGUACACAAUUUAUGCGUAAUCUGUUACUAGUGCCCUGCUUAGCCUCCUGAAAAAGCGCGUUAUAUUAAUACUACACCACACACUCCUUCCCCACUCACACGAGCAUUGCUAGCUCUCUGUGUUGGUUAAUAAAAUUUCCUAAUUCAACAUUAGUGAAUUUCGUUAGCUGAUGCAGUUGGUUAACAGUGUUUUUGUCGGUGUGGAUUCCCGGGCUUAAGAUGACUCCAGAGCGCGGCGCGGCCUUCCCCAAGAGAGGAGACUUUUUGGGUCAUCCCCUAACUCUGAUGUUCGGGCAUCGAUGACCUGUGUAGCAUGCAGAGGUACCCAAGGGAGUCACCACCCUCUGGUUUACGAGCUAGGUGUUCUAAU